rnacentral:ribozyme from 14 species
AACAACAGUCGUAGUGUAUUGGGAUUUAUUUUUCAUGGUUGCUUAAACAUAUUUAACAAAACAAAAAAAAAAACUUCCAGCAAUCACCAUUGUUUUCCUUCUUCUUCAACACCGUUUCCAUAAAU